UGCGCCCUCCGGGUGUCCCAAACUACAACUCCCAUCUCCCGAUUCGACACCUGGGAGUUGUAGUUUGGGACAUCUGGAGGGCACG